AUCUGUUAGAGCAAUCGAAGCAGUGAACUUAAGCCCCAGUAAACGGCGGCCGUAACUAUAACGGUCCUAAGGUAGCGAAAUUCCUUGUCGGGUAAGUUCCGACCCGCACGAAAGGCGUAACGAUUUGGGCACUGUCUCAACAACAGACUCGGUGAAAUUGUAAUUCCGGUGAAGAUGCCGGAUACCUGCGACAGGACGGAAAGACCCCAUGGAGCUUUACUGUAGCUUGACAUUGGGUCUUGGUACUACAUGUACAGGAUAGGUGGGAGGCUUUGAAACCAGGACGCCAGUUUUGGCGGAGCCAUCCUUGGGAUACCACCCUUGUAGUACUGGGACUCUAACCAUAGGCCAUGAAUCUGGUCUUGGGACACUGUCAGGUGGGCAGUUUGACUGGGGCGGUCGCCUCCCAAAAGGUAACGGAGGCGCUCAAAGGUUCUCUCAGUACGGUCGGAAAUCGUACGUAGAGUGUAAAGGCAAAAGAGAGCUUGAUUGCAAGACAUACAGGUCGAGCAAGGAUGAAAAUCGGACUUAGUGAUCCGGUGGUUCUGCGUGGAAGGGCCAUCGCUCAACGGAUAAAAGCUACCCUGGGGAUAACAGGCUUAUCUCCCCCAAGAGUCCACAUCGACGGGGAGGUUUGGCACCUCGAUGUCGGCUCAUCACAUCCUGGGGCUGUAGUAGGUCCCAAGGGUUGGGCUGUUCGCCCAUUAAAGUGGUACGCGAGCUGGGUUCAGAACGUCGUGAGACAGUUCGGUCCCUAUCCGUCGCAGGCGUAGGAAAUUUGAGAAGACCUGUCCUUAGUACGAGAGGACCGGGAUGGACGUACCUCUGGUGUACCAGUUGUCCUGCCAAGGGCAUGGCUGGGUAGCUAUGU
rnacentral:rRNA from 1 species